rnacentral:rRNA from 1 species
CACGUAGGGCGCAAGCGUUGUCCGGAAUUAUUGGGCGUAAAGAGCUCGUAGGCGGUCUGUUGCGUCUGCUGUGAAAACUCGGGGCUUAACCCCGAGCCUGCAGUGGAUACGGGCAGACUAGAGGUAGGUAGGGGAGAAUGGAAUUCCCGGUGUAGCGGUGAAAUGCGCAGAUAUCGGGAGGAACACCAGUGGCGAAGGCGGCUACCUGGACCAGCACUGACACUGAGGCACGAAAGCGUGGGGAGCAAACAGG